rnacentral:rRNA from 1 species
UAGAGUUUGAUCCUGGCUCAGAUUGAACGCUGGCGGCAGGCUUAACACAUGCAAGUCGAGCGGAGAUGAGGUGCUUGCACCUUAUCUUAGCGGCGGACGGGUGAGUAAUGCUUAGGAAUCUGCCUAUUAGUGGGGGACAACAUUCCGAAAGGGAUGCUAAUACCGCAUACGUCCUACGGGAGAAAGCAGGGGAUCUUCGGACCUUGCGCUAAUAGAUGAGCCUAAGUCGGAUUAGCUAGUUGGUGGGGUAAAGGCCUACCAAGGCGACGAUCUGUAGCGGGUCUGAGAGGAUGAUCCGCCACACUGGGACUGAGACACGGCCCAGACUCCUACGGGAGGCAGCAGUGGGGAAUAUUGGACAAUGGGGGAAACCCUGAUCCAGCCAUGCCGCGUGUGUGAAGAAGGCCUUAUGGUUGUAAAGCACUUUAAGCGAGGAGGAGGCUACUGAGACUAAUACUCUUGGAUAGUGGACGUUACUCGCAGAAUAAGCACCGGCUAACUCUGUGCCAGCAGCCGCGGUAAUACAGAGGGUGCGAGCGUUAAUCGGAUUUACUGGGCGUAAAGCGUGCGUAGGCGGCUUUUUAAGUCGGAUGUGAAAUCCCCGAGCUUAACUUGGGAAUUGCAUUCGAUACUGGGAAGCUAGAGUAUGGGAGAGGAUGGUAGAAUUCCAGGUGUAGCGGUGAAAUGCGUAGAGAUCUGGAGGAAUACCGAUGGCGAAGGCAGCCAUCUGGCCUAAUACUGACGCUGAGGUACGAAAGCAUGGGGAGCAAACAGGAUUAGAUACCCUGGUAGUCCAUGCCGUAAACGAUGUCUACUAGCCGUUGGGGCCUUUGAGGCUUUAGUGGCGCAGCUAACGCGAUAAGUAGACCGCCUGGGGAGUACGGUCGCAAGACUAAAACCCAAAUGAAUUGACGGGGGCCCGCACAAGCGGUGGAGCAUGUGGUUUAAUUCGAUGCAACGCGAAGAACCUUACCUGGCCUUGACAUACUA